rnacentral:tRNA from 1 species
UGGCGCCCGAACAGGACU